UACGUAGGGGGCAAGCGUUGUCCGGAUUUAUUGGGCGUAAAGAGCGUGUAGGCGGCCAGGUAGGUCCGUUGUGAAACCUGGAGGCUCAACCUCCAGCGGUCGAUGGAAACCAUCUGGCUAGAGUCCGGAAGAGGAGAGUGGAAUUCCUGGUGGUGGCGGUGAAAUGCGCAGAUAUCAGGAAGAACACCCGUGGCGAAGGCGGCUCUCUGGGACGGUACUGACGCUGAGACGCGAAAGCGUGGGGAGCGAACAGG
rnacentral:rRNA from 1 species